GCCAGGCGUGGUGGCGCAUGCCUGUGGUCCUAGCUACUAGGGAGGCUGAGGCAGGAAAAUCGCUUGAGCCCAGGAGGUCAAGGCUGCGGUAAGCUGUGAUCGUGCCACUGCACUCCAGCCUGGGCAACAAAGUGAGACCCUGUCUCAA
rfam:Pan troglodytes isolate Yerkes chimp pedigree #C0471 (Clint) chromosome X, whole genome shotgun sequence.